rnacentral:rRNA from 1 species
UUAGAGUUUGAUCAUGGCUCAGAUUGAACGCUGGCGGCAGGCCUAACACAUGCAAGUCGAACGGUAGCACAGAGAGCUUGCUCUCGGGUGACGAGUGGCGGACGGGUGAGUAAUGUCUGGGAAACUGCCUGAUGGAGGGGGAUAACUACUGGAAACGGUAGCUAAUACCGCAUAACGUCGCAAGACCAAAGAGGGGGACCUUCGGGCCUCUUGCCAUCAGAUGUGCCCAGAUGGGAUUAGCUAGUAGGUGGGGUAAUGGCUCACCUAGGCGACGAUCCCUAGCUGGUCUGAGAGGAUGACCAGCCACACUGGAACUGAGACACGGUCCAGACUCCUACGGGAGGCAGCAGUGGGGAAUAUUGCACAAUGGGCGCAAGCCUGAUGCAGCCAUGCCGCGUGUAUGAAGAAGGCCUUCGGGUUGUAAAGUACUUUCAGCGGGGAGGAAGGUGUUGUGGUUAAUAACCGCAGCAAUUGACGUUACCCGCAGAAGAAGCACCGGCUAACUCCGUGCCAGCAGCCGCGGUAAUACGGAGGGUGCAAGCGUUAAUCGGAAUUACUGGGCGUAAAGCGCACGCAGGCGGUCUGUCAAGUCGGAUGUGAAAUCCCCGGGCUCAACCUGGGAACUGCAUUCGAAACUGGCAGGCUAGAGUCUUGUAGAGGGGGGUAGAAUUCCAGGUGUAGCGGUGAAAUGCGUAGAGAUCUGGAGGAAUACCGGUGGCGAAGGCGGCCCCCUGGACAAAGACUGACGCUCAGGUGCGAAAGCGUGGGGAGCAAACAGGAUUAGAUACCCUGGUAGUGCACGCCGUAAACGAUGUCGACUUGGAGGUUGUGCCCUUGAGGCGUGGCUUCCGGAGCUAACGCGUUAAGUCGACCGCCUGGGGAGUACGGCCGCAAGGUUAAAACUCAAAUGAAUUGACGGGGGCCCGCACAAGCGGUGGAGCAUGUGGUUUAAUUCGAUGCAACGCGAAGAACCUUACCUACUCUUGACAUCCAGAGAACUUUCCAGAGAUGGAUUGGUGCCUUCGGGAACUCUGAGACAGGUGCUGCAUGGCUGUCGUCAGCUCGUGUUGUGAAAUGUUGGGUUAAGUCCCGCAACGAGCGCAACCCUUAUCCUUUGUUGCCAGCGGUCCGGCCGGGAACUCAAAGGAGACUGCCAGUGAUAAACUGGAGGAAGGUGGGGAUGACGUCAAGUCAUCAUGGCCCUUACGAGUAGGGCUACACACGUGCUACAAUGGCGCAUACAAAGAGAAGCGACCUCGCGAGAGCAAGCGGACCUCAUAAAGUGCGUCGUAGUCCGGAUUGGAGUCUGCAACUCGACUCCAUGAAGUCGGAAUCGCUAGUAAUCGUAGAUCAGAAUGCUACGGUGAAUACGUUCCCGGGCCUUGUACACACCGCCCGUCACACCAUGGGAGUGGGUUGCAAAAGAAGUAGGUAGCUUAACCUUCGGGAGGGCGCUUACCACUUUGUGAUUCAUGACUGGGGUGAAGUCGUAACAAGGUAACCGUAG